rnacentral:rRNA from 1 species
UACAGAGGGUGCAAGCGUUGUUCGGAACUAUUGGGCGUAAAGCGCGUGUAGGCGGCUUUGCAAGUCGGGUGUGAAAGCCCUCAGCUCAACUGAGGAAGUGCGCCCGAAACUGCAGAGCUUGAGUGCCGGAGAGGGUGGCGGAAUUCCCCAAGUAGAGGUGAAAUUCGUAGAUAUGGGGAGGAACACCGGUGGCGAAGGCGGCCACCUGGACGGUAACUGACGCUGAGACGCGAAAGCGUGGGGAGCAAACAGG